rnacentral:lncRNA from 1 species
GCUUAUCUGGCACAGAAGAAUCUUCUGGCCCUGUGGUUUUCAAGCCUGCCUGCACACUAGAUCUCCUGGAGUACUUUCAGAAAAAUAGCGACAGGUCUUUCUGUGGCUCCAUGGAUAAUUUCUUUUAACUGCUAAACAGUAUUUCGCUGUCUUAAUGUUACCCGAGUUAAUGUACCCAUUCAUCAACUGAAGAUUAUCAUGGUUGAUUCUACAUUUUGGCUGCUGCUGUGAAUAAAACUGCUACAAACUUUAAAUUUCAGAUCCAAUAAAGGAGUUAGACCCUCCUGCAUCCCC